ensembl:lncRNA
ACCUGUUUUAUCACCUGAGGGAGAAAACUGCAUCACUUUGUCUCCAUCGGUCACUUCACACUUCAAUGAAGUGAAGCUUGAUGUGUAAAAGAAGUGAGAAGUCUUAAAGGACAGAGAGGCGGAGCAGGAAUCCUGUGAUGUCUUCACUUCUUCUUUGUCUUUGUCCACAUCUUGACCACCAUUCAUCCACUUCACUGUGCGUGGACAUCGUUCAUACGUCCACACAGAGCAUCUUAACGUCACCUCGUCUCUGUCCGUCUCAUGUUUUCAUAGUUCACUGUGUCAUCUUCUGCAUCAUAACGCAC